rnacentral:lncRNA from 1 species
ACUUGUAGACUAUGAGCUGUGGUUUGUUUGCUGUUGAACUAGUGAACUUGUUGAACUAUUGAACUUGUGAACUUGUGGACUAUGGACUGUGAGCCGCUUGUGAUUAUUUGAUGUUGAAUCGUGGUUUCUGGUAUGUAUAUAUAUGUAUUGUUGUCUAGAUGGGGUAAAACAAAAAAAAGAAUUUUCAGAGGUGGCUUUGCCGAGUGCAAUGGUCAUGGCUCUCGGCAAAGAAAAUACCGAAAUAAUAUUAAA